AUAUAUAUAUAUAUAUAUAUAUAUAUAUGUAUAUAUGUAUAUAUAUAUAUAUAUGCAAAUGCAUGCAUAAAUUGCCUACACACAGAAACACGCACACCUGUAUAAGCUCUCUUCUGGGAAGCCAAAGCUCCAUCCUUUUCAAGAGAGGAUCAAGAGAGACACCUCUGCUCCCCCUCGUGCAGCACUUCUCCAAAGUGAAAAGGAGGGGGGGGAGGGCUGUGUGUGUCCCCGAGACCCUUCGGGGGCUCCCCCCCCCCAAACCCUUUUCCCUUCGGGGCCUAAGGCGACAAUGAAGACGGGAGAAGGAAAGCCCGGAGAAACCCAAAGCCUGGGCUGGGUGAAAGGGGGAUCCCCUGUUGCCUCUUUCGGAGGGGGUUUUCCUCAGAGACCUUGGACUCUUCCAUCCCCCCCUCCCCCAUCCCUCCUUCCCCUCCCCCAUCGCCCCCCCCCCGCCCAAAGGAAAGGAAGGGCCGGCUCGAAAAAGGCGCAACUUUCGACUUCGGGCCGGGCGGCUCUCGUGUGAGGAGUAAACAAUGGAAGUGACGGUCUGGUGUGCAAAGGUGUGUGAGCCACGGAAUGUAAUGCUACGUUGGACCACAAGAUGACUCUGUCGGACAAGUUGCUGCUCAAGAAAACUUAAAAAAAACAACCAAAAGCUCGGAUACAUCGAUGAGAAAUAUAGAUUGGAUGAAGGAGACCGAAGGUCUUGAGACACCUUGGCCAAAUUUGGACCGGUCCUACCUGAUGCAAUUUAUCUCAAGGUUGUGUCCCUCGUCAGCAUUUUGUCCACGAAGAAGCAAUGCCAGCAAAAAGACCCAACAACCCCAGAGUUCGAUGCGAGAGACUUAAUUGUUUUCUCCCCAGACGAACGGUCUGGUUUUCGUAGUCAUUUUCCAUUUGUCUUUUGCAAAAGACAAACUCCGCUGAUUUGGUUCUCCAGUAAUGGAUGGCUUGGCCACUUGGAGGAGGGUAACCCAAGUUCCUAGAUAGCUGCAAGGAACUGCGAAACAAAGACCCAAACCAGCAGAUUCCUUGUGCAGUCGGAUUUCUCUGGUGUGUUUUUCAAAUUGAUUUUGUAUUAAAUGCAUUUCUUAGUGCUUUAUAAACGUCAUCUUGUCUGGGUGUGUAAAUUGCUUAACCGUACAAAUUAGAUUC